UUUAAGCAUUAAAGAGCCUUGUUCUGACAGGAGACUGGCUUGUCAAAAACAAUCAAGCCUGGUAGACACAGUUAAGGAAAGUCCAGUCCAAUCCAAUCCUAAAGUUUCCACGAAUUCAUCACUUGCAUUUAUCUGUUCGCGGGAAGAUGAAAACCCAAAAGAUGGUGAUGAUGAUGCUUUGAUCUAAACUGGAAUUUAUCCUUGACAUCUUACAAGGGUGAUUAUCUUGAUAGCAUUCAUUUGUGUGCUUUAAGCAAAGAAAAGAGCCGACUCCACUGCUUGAAUCACAUAGAUGAUCAUACGAAUAGGGUCCGGUUUUUGUUAUCUCAACAUUUCUUCUGACACGCGGGAGACAGAUCAGAGAUAUUUGCACAGCCAAUUGACCCUGAUGAGGUUGGUAGUUGGUUCUUGUUCACUGUGCACGUAGACCUGAAACAACUCGCUCUCCUCCUAUCCACGAUGACGUUAAUAGUGUUUGUUUCUUUUAGAGGUUAUUGGCUAUUACAAUAUCAUUAAAGAGUCAAAGAUUUUGGAACCACAAGGGCCAAACUUCAGUAAGGAAUGUAUACAAGUCUGGAGCAAUUUCAGGUAAUGCUCCAAAAUCAAAAAGGCCAUCAUCCUCUUUUCCUUCAUGGUGCUUCCCUGCAAUGUAAUUACUUUGUAGUACAGGUUCCCCAGCUUCUGCUUUUAUCCUCUACUAAAGGAAUAUCCAAGUUUUCAACCUGACUGUUUUAUUCUCUGAUUUUUCUUUUUGUGCUCUUGAAUUUACCUAUCUACUGAUGGUUUGGUUCGAUGGUCAAACAACAAGAGUACUAGCUAUCAUUUCAUGGUUUCCCCCUAAAUCUCAUGCGCUAAAAUGGAAUGUUGAUGGUUCUUCUAUUGGGAAACCUAGACUUGCUGGUAUUGGAGGGGUUCUUCACAAUCAUAAAGGUUUGGUUCUGGGUUUUUUCUCUGCUCCUGUUGGGAUUAAAGAUUCAAAUGAAGCUUAGUUGCUAGGUAUGAUAUUAAAGCUCUUGAACUAUCUUCUUCGUGAGAUGAUUUUAUUGGAGGAAAGUUCAUCUUUGAAUCUGAUUCUGCUGUUGUGGUUAACUGGGUAAAUAAGCCACUUAAUAGGCCAUGGAGAUUUCAUGCUCUUUUCAUCAUUGUAUCUAGAUUUUCUUCACAUUUGGACUCGGUGUCUUUCUCUCAUGUUCCGCGCAAUGCUCACCAUAUGGGUGAUGGUUUUGCAAAACAAGGUAUGACUAGAAGAUGUGAUUUUAUGGCCUGGCUUUGAUCUUUCUUGUUAUGCAGUCUUUCUUGGUUCAUAUUAUCUUGUCUCAUAGAUUGUGUAGAUGUGUUUUUGUUUCUUUUUUCGCCUCUCUAGAAUCCCACCAACAUUGUUUUAUAUAUAUAGUUUUCCAAUAAUUGAAAGUAAACAAGCCUGCAGGUCAGGUUGUGAAAAACAGAUUCUUAUCUGCAUUUGUUCAGUCAAUAUCAUAAGAAGAUCUCGAUUUCUUUGAAUUAUUCUGCAGCAUGAUGUGUUUCUCAUAUCCAGCAAGGCAAUUAAAUUUAAUUCAUCGACAACUUUGUAUUAUACAGAGGUAGAGUUGAAAGUUUUUAUUUUGCAAAAUGGUAGCAUGAUAGUAAAAGAAGAUAUUAGGCAUCUCAAUUAAUGCAACACUGUAGUUUCCAGGCUCGUGCUCUAAGUGAACUGGCUCUGCAGGUCUUCAAAAUUCUCUGAGAACUGAACCAGAGAAAUUUGAGCUGGAACACUCCGAGAUGAGAAGAUGUCCUGCUAAAAAAGGCUAGGGCGAAGCUGGAAGUAUACUGAAUAAGCUUGCUAAAUUUGUUGGGGCCGGAGGUGGUGCUUCACUAAACAACCCCUUUCUAAAGAGAGCUACCCAAACACACCUUUCUUCAAAACGUCUAAACCCUCUGGCUGAUUGAUGUGAUGCAGGUUCCGAUACAUCGAAAGUCUAAUGCAAUUUGUUAAAGAUUUGGGAUCAACAGCUUCAAUUGAAACUCCAAAUUUCCUGUCCCGGAUGCCAACCUCUUUUAGCAAGAAUACAGAUUCUUUAGACCCUAUAUCAACCGCAAUUGACAGUCCUCUCGUCUGACCGGUGUUAAUGAUGGCUGUAUGCCUCACAAUAGUUUCAAUUCUAUCUCACCUGUUUCUUAUAAAGUAAAGACGGUCUGUCCCAAUGGAGGUGUGAAUGGUUGUAAUACUGGAGGAAUGGUUCCUACUCGUAAUUCUCUGCAAGGGGUUAGAGCUCACCCCAACAAUGAUGGAAGCAUGAAUUUGCUUUGAUGGGAGAAAAAUCUGUCAACACAAACAAAAAUGUGGAUGCUUGUGGCUCUUCAGAAGCAAAAAUGAAGGGCACCAAUGGCAAUAUGGAUCUUCUUAUCGCAACUCUCGGGCAAAUUAGUGCUUUCCAAAAUCGAAAUUCACAAACACCAUCAGGUUAUUUCCCUCUUACUGGAAUGUAUGCUGCCCAUCAAGAAGAGUCCAGAGGUCAGUUCUUUUCAAAAACUCAACAAUUAAACUUGGUGGAUAGGCAGGAGCUUGACCCUGAUCUGGCUCUUCAAUUGUGAGGUCAAUAUUUGUAGGGGUUCCGGUGCGUGCGGGUUAAGAGAGAGGAUGACUGCAUGUUGGGUGUAUCCCAACAGAUGUAUGACACAUGUUUUUGUCUUAAUUUCAAACUUGUUCCUCGUAUGCAAUAUCCGGCAUGAAACUAGAAAAUUUGUUUGUUUUUUCUUCA